UUCGGCCUUUUUUUUUUUUUUAAUGCAUUGUGUUCGUGCUGUUGUUUUCCUAUUUUACUGAAACUUUUCGUUAUCUAUUUUUUUGUUAAUUGAUAUAAUUUGCAGUUCCUAUUUGUGGACUGCGUUUGUAUACAUUAAACGAAUGCUAAAUAGGUUUCUAUUAGUUUAUUUCGCGAAACAAUGGAGCUCGUUACAUGUUCGAUGUUGUGAAAUCGAAGCCGCCCAUAUUACCAUUAUCAUCUUCACCUUGCUUACGACACGCCAGACACCUCAAUUCACAUCACACGUUAUUAUGAUUGUUUUAUUUAAACUCUUUAACCAUAAACGUCUUUCGAGGUGAAUACGUGAGGGAAAUUUUUGGUGUAAUUGAAAGAAGCUGGUUGCCUUAACUAUUUGGACGGAAGAGGAAAUCCGAAGAACACAGACAGGGGCUGGCUUAUUGGCGCGUUAUGCGGAAGCCAAAUGAAGAUGAGGAAGGAAGAAGAAGAA